rnacentral:rRNA from 1 species
UAGUCCACGCUGUAAACUAUGAUCACUUGCUAUUGGCGAUAUACUGUCAGUGGCAUAGCGAAAGUGUUAAGUGAUCCACCUGGGGAGUACGAUCGCAAGGUUGAAACUCAAAGGAAUUGACGGGGGCCCGCACAAGCGGUGGAGCAUGUGGUUUAAUUCGAUGAUACGCGAGGAACCUUACCUGGGCUCUAAUGCGACUGUUACCUGGUGAAAGCCGGGGUUCCUUCGGGACAGGAAGCAAGGUGCUGCAUGGUUGUCGUCAGCUCGUGCCGUGAGGUGUUGGGUUAGGUCCCGCAACGAGCGCAACCCCUAUCACUAGUUGCCAGCAAGUUAAGUUGGGGACUCUAAUGAGACUGCCUGCGCAAGCAGAGAGGAAGGAGGGGACGACGUCAAGUCAUCAUGGCCCUUACGCCUAGGGCUACACACGUGCUACAAUGGUGCAUACAGAGAGUCGCGAUCCGGCAACGGUCAGCCAAUCUCACAAAGUG